UACGUAGGGGGCAAGCGUUAUCCGGAAUUACUGGGUGUAAAGGGAGCGUAGACGGUAAUGUAAGUCUGGAGUGAAAGGCGGGGGCCCAACCCCCGGACUGCUCUGGAAACUAUGUUACUAGAGUACAGGAGGGGCAGGCGGAAUUCCUGGUGUAGCGGUGAAAUGCGUAGAUAUCAGGAGGAACACCGGCGGCGAAGGCGGCCUGCUGGACUGAAACUGACGUUGAGGCUCGAAAGCGUGGGGAGCAAACAGG
rnacentral:rRNA from 1 species